rnacentral:lncRNA from 1 species
GAUACCUGUGGGUCUCUUCGAAACUAUUACCAGCAUUUUCUCGAGCUGCUUCUCUUCGUUCGGCUCCCGAGGGCCAGUGCGGUCGCAUUAUUGGCGAGAGGAACCCUUCCAAGCUCCGAGUCCGCCGGCUUUUGGGCCCCCGCCGCCAGCGCGGUGGAGGAGGCACGUUUUCCUCGGCUCUCCCAGCCUGUCACAAAGCCAAGUCCUUGGUCUUCUCUUCUCUCUGGACGUCCUCGCCCUUGGCAGCUUCCCUGGGCGCCCGUGCCCGAAGUCCCCUGCAUCUCCAUCUCCAGCCUUGGGGGCGGCCCGUGCGGGGCCUGUGCCGGGCCUGUCCCCUCCUGUCGGUGGACGCAGCUUUCCACGCCGAAGCCUGGCCUCGCCCCAGAGGCUAAAAGGGAGCUCGCCACCGUCCGCUUAAACACCGUCCCUACUCCUGGCGACUCGAUCUUGAAAAUAUAUGCAUUCUUCAGUCAGUCACAUUCCAUAUUUGGGACUCUUCUUCACCAUUUUUCUACUUCCUGUGCCGUUAGAAGACACCUUCCGUCCAUUCUGUGUGUAGCGGUGGUCAUAUUUUGUUUUGUUUUGUUUUGUUUUGUUUCUUUUCAGCUGUCAUCUGUGGUUCACACCCUUACGCCCUAUGGCUUAUCAUCUCGGGUUCUUAACCCACUUGCCUGGUCCCAGGCUGCCCUCUCCUCACCUCCUUCCUGUCAGUUUAAUCUUUCAGAACUGGGAGACAGUGUUUGUGGCAUUCCUCAGCCGAGGCCCUGUUGCUCCGCGUUGCUCCCGGCAGGGGGCCGAAGCUGCCUCCUGAUGGGCCCCACGGAGUCCGGCUCCUGGGCUCUCCCGGUUGCGGGUGCGCGUGUUCACGGGCUCUGCCUUGGAAUAAUUCCCCUUGCAUCUUUCCCUAAAGACCUGCAGGGCUUUGGGAGUGGAUCGGGAGGGAGGGUGAGUGAGGGCAUAGCUCCUGUGACAGCUGGGGAGCCCGACCCACAAGUUUGCAUUUAA